ACGUGCCACUCGUCCACUGCGAAUCCUGCGUGCUGUCCACGCGCAUCGGACGGUUGCUCGCGACGUUGUGUUCGUC
rnacentral:sRNA from 1 species